rnacentral:lncRNA from 10 species
UGAAGCUCUUUGGUAUUUAAGAGUGUUGUGAGGCACUGGGAGAACAAAGGUCACUUCUGGGGAAAGUUUAGAAUUUCUGGAGGACCAGCAUAUAACACAUCAGGCAUUACUUUAAAAGGUGGUGAACAAUGCAAGCCAAAGGUGUGUGGUAGGAAUGGAGAUUGUUUUUUAACUACUUUCUCUCUCUCUUCCUUUCCAUACUGCAUGGGAAAUACAUUCAUGCUUCAAGAUUUCAUUUAGAUUGUUGAAGUCCAACCAGUUUAGUUGUUUUGGGUCAAAAGCCUGAGUCUGAAUUUUUUGCCUGCUGAUUAAAGAGACAGAACCCCUAAACUGGAGGGAUGAUAGCAGGUGACUGAACCAAACAGUGUGGUGAUUAGACAUCAGCACCUGAGGACAGGACAGCACCUAAGGACUGAGGGAAUGAAAUCAUCUUUUAAGAUCUUGUUAUGAGAAAGGUAGAGUUGGUGGGAGAAAGUGUCUUAGCACUGAGCACGCAAAAUUUGUUCUCACAUGCCCAUGUAGCACUGAACAAUUUCUGCAGAAGGAAGCUGGUUAGUUUGACCUAAGAAUGGUCUAGAGAAAUUUACGGCUAAAAACCAAGUUCACUUUCUUUUUUGCCUAAAUCUCAAUCUAAAAGCUUUCUAACAAGCCCAUGAACAAAUAAACAUAUAAGGAUCAAUGUCAAACCCACAGGCCUUAGAGGAAAGUGUAGCUGUAUUGGUGAAAUGACGAUGCAACCAUUUCCAGGGGUAUCAAAUACCAAUUCUGUGAUCUCACAUACCAUGUAGGGCUUCCAACUUGGUCCAGUUGGGAUAGCAAGUCCUCACUGAGCCACUGAACUGCUCUAGGUCUAUGCAAGCAGUCCAGUGUGUGGCCUGCCUUGCGUGUAGAGCCAGGGUGUUCUGGGGCUUGUGAUGUAAUCGUAGAGAUAGAGAUGGCAUGAGGGAGGCCUGGAAAGUACCCCGGCAUCAUCCCGUUUAUUAGACCUUUUAGAGAAAGGCCUGCUUUUGCCAUUUCCCCCUUUCUUCUAGUUUACAAAAUCACAUUUUAUCAAAGAUGUGGGAGCCCUGCUCUAUUCUGACCUCCCUAGAUCUUCUGCAGUCUGGAGGAUCCUGGGGCAGGGGAGCCUGAUCUCUUCUUCUGGUGGAGUUCCAGACUUCAGGGACUUGAUUGCAUCUGGCCUCCUGCCUGAUUCAAAUCGAACCUAACCUGAUGUCUUUCAGGUGGGGGCACAUAUGUUAAUGCUUAUUUCCAUGGUUGACUUAAAUACCAUACUGCUUCAUUUUGGUUAGAAAAGCAUUUAUCUAAAUCAGCAUUUAGAAACAGGAAAGUCUGGGAAUAUUGGCAGAUAGAUGUUGGCAGACGGGUAGGUACAGCAGACCCUAACCUACUAAUGAGCCUUGGUCCCAAAUAUGUCUCCCUUCCUCCAUAUCCGUAAGUUCAUAUUGCUUGGGUAUUUGUUUUCCAUAACAGCAGCUUGACUGGAAAGGCAUAAACCUAAGCCUUUGAGUUACAUAGACUAAUUUGACAUCUGCAAGCAAAAAAUAAUACAGAAUUAAAUAUGUUCAGGUAUACACCAGAUGCAAAGGAAAGCAGGAGGGGCAUAUAUGAACGUAACUUGGGUCUGAAAAACACCAAAGCCACCUACACACUAACAUGAAAAUGAGAGUUAAAAAAUGUGAAAAUAUAGUGCAUCGAAGUGGCUCAUUGUGUAAAGCAUAGUGAAAUAUGACAGAGAAGAAUGAGAAAAUAAGAUGAGUACAGUUAGGAAGGUUCAAGGAUGUAUUAAUAUUUGAACUACAAAGAAUGUUUGCAGAUAAAAUGAUGCUUGUUGGGGUAAAAUUCUGACCCUAAGCAGGGAAGGUUAAAGACUUUACUUUCUUCCCUGGUAUUUAUUCCCUUUUAUGAUGGUUUCCUCUCUGUCUUGUUACUAUACACGACAUAGGCCAAUGUUAAAUGUAAAAUUUAACUGCAGAAACAGCAGCUAUGAAAGGAAAAGGGAUACACAGAAAUACAUUCUGAAAAUUUACUUUAAAUUUUUGAAAAAGAAACACAAAACAAAAUUUCAUCAAACCAAAUUUCCUAGAGAGAAGAGAGAGUUACGGUAAAGCCGUGUCUUGAAACUUCCCAAAUAAAUAAUUUAACAUGACAAAGAAGCCAAGAAUCCUGCAUUUCUCAAUUUGUUCAGUUUCUAUAUAUUAGCUGUAAAUUGUAAACAAUUUCUCAUAUUGAAUCUUUGUUAAAAGUUUCCUCAGUAAACCCCUACACAUAAACGGAGCCACAUCAUCAGAGGUAGCAGAAUUGUAUCGGAUGGGAUUUACACAAGAAAAGUCAAAAGCACUUGAAAAGCAAGUCUGUGGAAGAUUCUGGAAAAAUACAAAUGUGUUCUAUACUUAGCAAUGUACAGAAGGAAAAAUGGUGCUCAAAUGCUAAAGGAAGUAUGAUUUCUAGCAACAUCCUAACCUACUUUAUGCCAAAAUAUAAGACCAUACUAUUAUAAGCACUCUAGUCAGCAUCUCCACUUCAGCAUUUACUUGGACUUCUCAGGCUCAGGCAAAUGUGGGCAUGGCUGGCAAACUGGUGGAUUGGGUGUGAAAGCCUAUUAGGAAGGAGAACAGCCAUUACUCACUGCUGUUCACAUACCUCCAGGUAUGUCUGGGAGCUGGAGUAGACUCAUCUGGAUAUGUUUACAGAGGGCAGAAAACCCACGCUGAGGAGGAAGGAAGCAGCAGGGCUUAUCACUGAAAGUGACCAGGAAUCCUGGAAAGAAGCCUUGUGGUAAUGCUUAUCCAAACCCAUCCUCAUCCCAGCCCCUCGGUGCAAGCCUGGUCCUAAGGAGAGAAAGAACACCAAGGAAAAACAAGAAGAGUAACCUUGAAAAUAUGACACUAAGUGAAAGAAGCCAGACAGCCUUGGCCACAUUUCAUUCAUAUGAAAUGUCCAGAAUAAGUGAGUCCAUAGAGACAGAAGGCAGAGGAGUGGAUGCCAGGCUCUGAAGGUGGAAGGGAUGGGGAGGAGAUGCCAGUGGGUGUGAGUUUCCUUUUAAGGUGAAGAAAUAAUUCUGAAACUAGACAGUGGAAAUGGUUGGACAAAACUGAAAAUAUACUUAAUGUCACUGAAUCAUACAUUUAGUUAAUAGUUAAAAUAGAUUUAAUAAAGUGUUAAAUAGUUAAAGUGGCAAGUUGUAUGUUAUGUGUAUUGUACUACAAGAAAAGAGCUGUUUGUCUAUAUUCACACACUGGGGACCAAGUUACAUUGCCCUGGGAAGCCAAAGGGCAAGAGCAUACUUCUCCUUUGCUCUUCAUGGCUUUAUGGUCCUGAGGGGUCAGGGCAGCCACCAGCAAGGGCUGUCCUGUUGGAGCCACAGGAGAGCCUUGGCCAGGAUGCCGGCACAGGGAGAAACACAUUGUGCCUACUGGAAAGGCACAGGAUUGGCAGGGCAGGGCGUUGGGAACUGUGGACUCAUUUUCAGGUGCACACAAGACCCCACCCCAAUGGCUUCGAGAAAUGCUGGGGAAGACUUGGAAGCUGGACACUGAGCAGGCACAGAACAGCCAAGGAAAUUUCGGUUAAAAGUAAGACAGUGCUUCACAGUUUGAAGAUACCUUCAUUUAAUAUGAUGAAUUAGCUUUUCAAGACAACUGUAUGGAUAGAUGGUGUUAUUGCCAUGUUAUACAUAUAGAACUCAGUCUCAGAAAGGUUAAGUGACCUUCCCAAGUUUACACAGCCAGUGAAUACCCUGGGCACUUCCCAAAACCUCUUACAUGACAGGAUUAUUUGUAAUGAUGAGGCAACCAAUUUUCUCCUAAGGGUUUGACCACAGAAGACUGCUCACAUGCAGAAAGAUGCGCUCCGUGGCUGUGCUUGUGAGAAGAGGUGGCUCAGGUAUCUCAUUAUUGAGCCUAAAUUGAAGGGUCUGCUUGUUCGGCUCCUGGGAAAGUGUACAGUUGUACCUCAGUCCUACUGCAGGCAAAUCAUUUGUUUAAAGCCUGCUGAUGAGAAAUGUAAAUGUGUGUUUCAAAGAUAAAGAUGCUAAUUUGAGUAUGAGCCACGAGUUAUUAUAAGGAACAGAGAAACAUGGCUGUUAUUAUAAGCAACAGAGUGGUUGCAGGAAGGGAGGUGAGAGGUAUGAAUGGAAGGGAGGUGGAGAAGGGCCAUGGUACAUGUUAUUCAUACCACUAGUUUACCUUGAUGGUAAGAAAAUGCCUCCUCCAUGCUUAGACAUAGGGCGGCAGCAGCUCUGUGCUCAGGCUUGGUGCCAGUUUAAGGAAAGUAACUAGGCAUCAGUUUACCUUGUCCACAGAACUCUGUGACAUAUUGUCUCUAGAGUAUCUCCGGGGUGGCAUCUAAGAUUUCCCCAGCUGGAUUUGUCCCUAACUGGGGGAAGCAACUCCCAGAUCAGCCCCAGUUGUAAAGAAUCAAUGGGCCCAUGGAAAAACCUGUGUUCCCUGAUGUAGCCUUUGCCUCCCUAACUCUGUAUUUAUUGUGUGCUUUUGCUCCCCACUAAGAUCUCUAGAAGAAGAAAAAACAGGAAUCUUGAACAUCCCAAAAGGAGGAAUCUGAAUUAGUAAAUGGAACAUCCACACAUGCCCAUUAGGGAGAAAAAGAGAGUGAGAGAUGUUGUAAGUGAACUAAACCCUCAUACUCCAUAGCAGGAAAUGAACAGAUGAUAUAUCAAGUUAAUAAAAGACAGAGAUAAACUGGAAGUCUUUGGAAAUACGGAGAGUGGGGAGUCUCACUAUGUUGCCCAGCCUGGCCUUGAUCUCCUGGACUCAAGCAAUCCUCUCAGAGUAGCUGGGACUACAGGCAUAUACCACCAUACCUAGUUUGCCUAUUGAUAUUCUUCUUUACCCCUAAGAAGAUUGUAUGUGUUAAUCCAUAUGUCAAGCUUAUCCAGUGUGAUGAAACUGGCGAAUUCACACUGAAGAGAAACUUUGAAGAGUUUGGCAGAGGAUUGGUGAAGAACAUGGCAGAAACAAUGGGACUCUCCUUGGAUAACGGUUCUUUGUGCUUUGCAAAUUCUCCAAUACGUGGAUAACCAAGUGGUUGUUGUUGUUUUUCUAGAAGUCUGAGAUUCACUGUCUAUGCCUCACUGUCUUCUUGAAACCAAAUGAGUUUAAGGACAGAAUAUACAUUUGGGUGAGAUAGGAAGCAGCUCAAAAAAGUGCUCACAUUCAAUCCCAUUAUUUUUCCUCCAUUAAUGUGAAAAAGACCUAUUUACAUCUUUGAUGACUUCUUAGAAGGCCAAUCCACCUUGGAGGUUAAAAGGUUUAAAAUUAGAGCUAACAUUUAUUGAGCAUGGGUUUUCCAGGGAUAUUUUUACUUUUAUAAAAAUUAAGGUAGAAGAGAACCCAUAAGCCAUAUUCACUAAAAAUUAUGCUACCGGUAUGGGGUAAGGGAGAAGUAUGCUCAGUUUAUAUUCCUGUGUUAAUAAAAUAAUUCCUUAAAUUCAGCAAAGCAAGAUGCACCCCGGCUUUCA